UCACACCUUGCGGUGGCAGUGUUCCCAGAGUGCCCAGCAUUACCUGAUGGCAACUAAGAAAAGGGGUUGCGCUCGUUAUGGCACUUAAGCCGACACCUCACGGCACGAGCUGACGACAACCAUGCAGCACCUUCACAGAGACCCCGAAGGGCAUAUUUAUCUCUAAAUAAUUCCUCUGCAAUUCAAGCCCGGGUAAGGUUCCUCGCGUAUCAUCGAAUUAAACCACAUGUUCCUCCGCUUGUGCGGGCCCCCGUCAAUUCCUUUGAGUUUCACCGUUGCCGGCGUACUCCCCAGGUGGGAUGCUUAAUGCUUUCGCUUAGCCGCUAACGCCAGGCGCUAACAGCGGGCAUCCAUCGUUUACUGUGCGGACUAC
rnacentral:misc_RNA from 1 species